CCUUGCCAGCCCGCUCAGAACUCAAAGGAAUUGACGGGGCCCGCACAAGCGGUGGAGUAUGUGGUUUAAUUCGAUGCAACGCGAAGAACCUUACCUGGUCUUGACAUCCCGGAGACCCUUAGGAAACUAGGGGGUGCUUCCAUCUGGAAGAAUCUGGAGACAGGUGCUGCAUGGCUGUCGUCAGCUCGUGUCGUGAGAUGUUGGGUUAAGUCCCGCAACGAGCGCAACCCUUGCCUUUAGUUGCCAGCAGUUCGGCUGGGCACUCUAAAGGGACUGCCGGUGUUAAACCGGAGGAAGGUGGGGAUGACGUCAAGUCCUCAUGGCCUUUAUGACCAGGGCUACACACGUACUACAAUGGCCGAUACAAAGGGCAGCGACACUGCGAGGUGAAGCCAAUCCCGUAAAAUCGGUCUCAGUCCGGAUUGGAGUCUGCAACUCGACUCCAUGAAGUUGGAAUCGCUAGUAAUCGUGGAUCAGCAUGCCACGGUGAAUACGUUCCCGGGCCUU
rnacentral:rRNA from 1 species